rnacentral:rRNA from 1 species
GUGGCAGGUGACGGCGUGCUAUACAUGCAAGUCGAGCGGACCGACGGGAGCUUGCUCCCUUAGGUCAGCGGCGGACGGGUGAGUAACACGUGGGUAACCUGCCUGUAAGACUGGGAUAACUCCGGGAAACCGGGGCUAAUACCGGAUGCUUGAUUGAACCGCAUGGUUCAAUCAUAAAAGGUGGCUUUCAGCUACCACUUGCAGAUGGACCCGCGGCGCAUUAGCUAGUUGGUGAGGUAACGGCUCACCAAGGCGACGAUGCGUAGCCGACCUGAGAGGGUGAUCGGCCACACUGGGACUGAGACACGGCCCAGACUCCUACGGGAGGCAGCAGUAGGGAAUCUUCCGCAAUGGACGAAAGUCUGACGGAGCAACGCCGCGUGAGUGAUGAAGGUUUUCGGAUCGUAAAACUCUGUUGUUAGGGAAGAACAAGUACCGUUCGAAUAGGGCGGCACCUUGACGGUACCUAACCAGAAAGCCACGGCUAACUACGUGCCAGCAGCCGCGGUAAUACGUAGGUGGCAAGCGUUGUCCGGAAUUAUUGGGCGUAAAGCGCGCGCAGGCGGUUUCUUAAGUCUGAUGUGAAAGCCCCCGGCUCAACCGGGGAGGGUCAUUGGAAACUGGGGAACUUGAGUGCAGAAGAGGAGAGUGGAAUUCCACGUGUAGCGGUGAAAUGCGUAGAGAUGUGGAGGAACACCAGUGGCGAAGGCGACUCUCUGGUCUGUAACUGACGCUGAGGCGCGAAAGCGUGGGGAGCGAACAGGAUUAGAUACCCUGGUAGUCCACGCCGUAAACGAUGAGUGCUAAGUGUGAGAGGGUUUCCGCCCUUUAGUGCUGCAGCAAACGCAUUAAGCACUCCGCCUGGGGAGUACGGUCGCAAGACUGAAAACUCAAAGGAAUUGACGGGGGCCCGCACAAGCGGUGGAGCAUGUGGUUUAUUCGAAGCAACGCGAAGAACCUUACCAGGUCUUGACAUCCUCUGACAACCCUAGAGAUAGGGCUUCCCCUUCGGGGGCAGAAGUGACAGGUGGUGCAGGGUUGUCGUCAGCCCGUCGUCAUGAGAUAUUGAGUUAAGGCCCACAACCGACCGCAACACCUGAUCCUAGUUGCCAGCAUUGACGUUCGGCACUCUAAGGGGGACUG